UACGGGGGGAGCAAGCGUUGUUCGGAUUUACUGGGCGUAAAGGGCUCGUAGGCGGCCAACUAAGUCAGACGUGAAAUCCCUCAGCUUAACUGGGGAACUGCGUCUGAUACUGGAUGGCUUGGAUUCGGGAGAGGAAUGCGGAAUUCCAGGCGUAGCGGUGAAAUGCGUAGAUAUCUGGAGGAACACCGGUGGCGAAGGCGGCAUUCUGGACCGAUAUUGACGCUGAGGAGCGAAAGCCAGGGGAGCAAACGGG
rnacentral:rRNA from 1 species